ACACACACACACACACACACACUCUCUCUCUCACACACCCAAGCACGCUCUCUCACACAUUCGCUCAGGCUCUCUCACACAGACUCUCUACUUAGUGCGCUGGAGAGAGGACUGAGGCUCACACUAUCAGCAAAGCUUCUCAAUGGGGGGACACAGCCAAGAGCAGACAGAGCAGUCAUUCCACUGGAGUCUUCCGCCGCAUGCGUGAGAAGGAGACGACAAGUAAGGGGGCUAAAUUAGCUCCCUGUCAUCACAACAGAAGAGUUCUACAGACGGAGCAGAGACACGGGCUGAAGGAAGGCAGAGAGCAAGAGAUCUGUGAUCGCAUGUGGCUGAUACAGCAGUGACAUGAUCAGCCUCCCAUCCUGUCCAGUUUGUUACUUAGACCCCAGGCUGUUUUUUCUCCUCACUGUUUGCACUCGGAAGUGAGAAGCAGGGGUCCAGAGGAGACUGUGUUGAGGGAAAAGAAGAGCAUUUCAGCACCCCUUUUUUUUGUGUAUUGUUAAGCUUUUCUGGGACUGGAAUUUCAGGCGGGAACCCCUUGCUUCAAAGUAUGGAUGUAUUUAAGACAGAGGAGUGAGUCUGCAGUGAUUCUGGCUGAGCUCCUUUCCUCCUGAACACACUGCUCAGACCCGGCCUCACCAUGUCCUGGUUGUUGGCCAUGUGGAUUAGCCUGGGCUUCCUGCUGCUGUGCCAGGCCACACUCUAUCAGACCAUCCAGCAGCACCAUGUGGCCCGGCCCGGUCGCACAGACAUCCUCACCCUGGAGGGAGGUACGUGUGAGGUGAUUGCCGCCCACCGGUGCUGUAACAAGAAUCGAAUUGAGGAGCGUUCUCAGACAGUCAAGUGCUCCUGUUUACCGGGGAAAGUGGCCGGAACGACACGCAACAAACCCUCCUGUGUGGAUGCGUCCAUUGUAAUUGGGAAAUGGUGGUGUGAGAUGGAACCGUGUCUGGAGGGAGAAGAGUGUAAGACUCUGCCUGACAACUCUGGAUGGAUGUGCUCCUCCGGGAACAAAAUCAAGACCACAAGAAACACCCAGCCAUACUCCCCUUUUUAGCCUCUGGAAGCAAAAUGCAGAGGAUGCGUCAACAGAAAUUGAGCUGCAUUCUUGCUUCUGUAAAGAGAGGGAGUCCUUCAUUGCCUGUUCUGUAGCAGCAGACAAGGCAGGCCUUUUUUGUUUGGAGAAGUCACAGUGAGAGAGAGUCUGGGGAGCACCUCCCAACUCGCCCACCAUAGUUCUGCAUGACCCACUCCCCUUGCUAAAUAGAUCAAUCCAUGACUGCUCCCUCCAAACAAUUACACACUUUUAGAGGGACUGGAAGAGUGAGAGAAGCUGUAAUGAAAACACCUCUCGUUCCUAUGCACUGCUUUAUUGAGAGUGAAAGGAGUACUUCCGUAUGAAAACCUCACGUUAGGGUUGUUCAAUCCAGUGUUGUUAUAUGAAAACAAUAUGUCUUACUACUACAAUCCUCAUCGGGCAUUUCAAGAAUUUACAUCACUUGUUUACUAAUGGCAACUUAAACACUCAUCUACAGAAGUCGUUUUAACUCCACAAGGCCACUAUGACAUAUAUAAUUUCCCAUGAGUGAAUGCUAAGUGUGUAAUUCAAUUUGAUACACUGUGUGUUACCUCCGACUUGUCCAGCAUGAUUUACUUGCUGUUCAGAGACCCACAUCCCUCAAAAAGAACCGAAGGGCACUUUUUCAGGCAAACUAGCACACUGUGACAGAAUGUAGCCCAUCUGUGAGACAGUUUCAGAGCAGAAGUGACCUGCCAGCACACUCAUCAUUGUUUAAUAUGUCAAAUCUGGUGGCCGAACACUGCAGAGGAACAGAAUGAACUCAAAGCGAACGCUCCAGUUACAGUUCUAUUUCAUCAACAAAUCAUCUGUUUCACCUCUGUGCUUCACACUACCCCUUACACCCCCAACCUGUGAUCCUGUAUGAUGUCAUCAUGAGGUAGAAAAUAAAACCAAACUGUGGGUCAUCUGCGGUUAAUUAUGAAUACUUUUUUUUACACAUGUAGUUCAAGUUUUAACAAUUGACAGGGUUUCAUCCUCAUGAUAUAUUCAUACAGAUUCAUGGUGGAGGUGUGCAUUACAAAUGCUAUUGAUUAAUUAAUACUCGUUGCCUUUUUCAUUGUCAAUGUGACAUUUCAUUGUCAAUGUGACAUUAAAUGGUUCUUGGUGUCUUUUGUUGUCUGGAGUCUUCUGUUUUUAGAGGGUGCUCUUUAGUUUCUUGUUUGAAGAGGUUUCUAAGCUGGCAUGAUUGAUUUGUUCGGCACUAAAAGAGAAAGAGGGAUAGGGUAGGGUUGUGUUUGCACUGAAUUAUUUUUGCUAAGGCAAUUGUCCUUGGCUCCUUUCACUAACUGAAGUCUGAGUAAAUUGCAAUUUAAUGCGGCCUGUAAAUUAGAAUGCAGACUACUUAGUUGCCAGCAAAGAUGGGAUAGGC